CAUUUGAUUUUUACCAAGGUUAAAUUAUCACUUGUGUGAAUUAAAAAGACACACAACAUAUUUAAAUAUCAAUCUAAGAGACACUUACAAUAAUUUAGAAUUUAAAAUGAUUUUUGUAACUCUAUAAGUAUUUAAAAUGCUCGGAAAUUAAAGUGAUAAAUUAAUUAUUUAUCUAUUAUAUGCAAAAGAGUAGAGAUAUGGGUGAAAUUCUCAAAUUCAUCAAUGCUUUGAUCAUCUUUCUUCCACUAAUUAUUCUUGUAAUCACUAACGGUAAUAAUUUCUUCAUACCUAUUUUAAAUUAUCUUCUUUAUCAUAUACAUAAUCAUUCAUCUCUUUAUAGUAUUAUUUAUUUAAUUUUAUUUGGCCUCAGAUAUCAUUCAUAAGUUAUGAUGUUAUCACUUAAAGAAUAUAUGUAAUGAAUAUCAGUGUAUUGUCCUAAGAUUAUUAUUCAUUUUAUUACAUGUUUAUACUGCUUAGGUUUUCUUUCCACGUAAGUUAUAUUCUUUAUCAUAUAAUUAAUAAUUCAUUUCUUUUUAAUUUUUUUUUUGACAUUACAGAACGUAACUACUGCUUUAAGAACGAAGAUUGUCAAGUCAAUACAUGUUACAUUACUUUAGUUUCGAAGUGUCGUUUUUUUAUGUGUCGUUGCACAGUAAAUUACUAAGAGUCUUAGAAAAAAUUAUGAUGUUGGGUGUUUGAAGAAUAAAUUUAAUAAAAUUUAAUUAUGUAAUGUAUCCUUAUAAAUAUAUUAUUUUUAUGUUUUGAUUUUUGUUAUUUUAUUUGCUUGAUUUUAAUUCUUGAAAAUAUUAUUCAUUUUGUUUUUGUCAUUAUUCUUUUGUUUUAGAUUUUAUAAAAUUAAGACUAAAUUAUAAUUUUGAUCC
rnacentral:lncRNA from 1 species